UACAUGGGGUGCAAACGUUGCUCGGAAUUAUUGGGCGUAAAGCGCACGUAGGCGGAUCUUUAAGUCAGGGGUGAAAUCCCAAGGCUCAACUUUGGAACUGCCUUUGAUACUGGGGAUCUCGAGUCCGGAAGAGGUUGGUGGAACUGCGAGUGUAGAGGUGAAAUUCGUAGAUAUUCGCAAGAACACCAGUGGCGAAGGCGGCCAACUGGUCCGGUACUGACGCUGAGGCGCGAAAGCGUGGGGAGCAAACAGG
rnacentral:rRNA from 1 species